GUCGUACACAAAUGUGAAGUUGAGAGGCUGUCUGAAGUCGAUCAGUUUCGGUGCCCAGCCUGCAAACCCUCAAAGUUAGCAGUCUCAGUGGAUGGGAACCGCAAGCUUUAUCGCUUUAAGAGCCAUUCUGGGACCAAAUAGCUUUUUCGAAGGUGUCUUCUUGGCCAACAACACAGAGGUGACCUCCUACGUCAACCACAUCAGGGCAUCAACAGGACAUAAUCCUGGGAAAGGCAGGUGUGGUGGAAGCGAAUGGGUGGCUGCACGAGAGUCCUCCAACAAGUCUGCGACUAAAGUAGAUGAGGAAGGGGUCGAGGUUGUCGUGUGUCGUCAUGGUGUUUUACUGAAGGGACUGAACAUGUUCCGUG